AGCGGCGGACGGGUGAGUAACACGUGGGCAACCUGCCCUGUAGACUGGGAUAACUUCGGAAACCGAAGCUAAUACCGGAUAAUCUUUGGAGCCUCAUGGUUCUAAAGUAAAAGUUGGGUUUACCUAACACUACAGGAUGGGCCCGCGUCGCAUUAGCUAGUUGGUAAGGUAACGGCUUACCAAGGCGACGAUGCGUAGCCGACCUGAGAGGGUGAUCGGCCACACUGGGACUGAGACACGGCCCAGACUCCUACGGGAGGCAGCAGUAGGGAAUCUUCCGCAAUGGACGAAAGUCUGACGGAGCAACGCCGCGUGAGCGAUGAAGGCCUUCGGGUCGUAAARCUCUGUUGUUAGGGAAGAACAAGUGCUAUUCGAAUAGGGUGGCACCUUGACGGUACCUAACGAGAAAGCCCCGGCUAACUACGUGCCAGCAGCCGCGGUAAUACGUAGGUGGCAAGCGUUGUCCGGAAUUAUUGGGCGUAAAGCGCGCGCAGGCGGUAUCUUAAGUCUGAUGUGAAAGCCCACGGCUCAACCGUGGAGGGUCAUUGGAAACUGGGAUACUUGAGUACAGAAGAGGAGAGUGGAAUUCCAUGUGUAGCGGUGAAAUGCGUAGAUAUAUGGAGGAACACCAGUGGCGAAGGCGACUCUCUGGUCUGUAACUGACGCUGAGGCGCGAAA
rnacentral:rRNA from 1 species